AUGGAUGUACAUGUGAAAGAGUUGUGCAGAAGUAAUAGAGAGGAAGAAAAUACCUAUCGGAGCCUCUCCGAUGGAGCUUCAAAAAAAGUAAGUUCUCUCUUUUCUGUUUUUUCUCUCUUUGAAUUCUGUGUUUUCCUGCUAAAUUUUCUUUGUAUGUGUUUUCUGAUUUUCUUCCCUACUGAGUUUUUGUUGUUCUUCUCCUUUGAAUUAUCUAUGUGUGAAUUUUUUUGUUGUUCACUUGCUGAGCUUUUAGUGUGGUUCCCUCUGAAUUUUUCUCUCUGUAUGUAUUUUCUGAUUUUUCUUCCUGGAGUUUUUCUUCUCUUAAGGUUCCUCUUCUGA